GACGAACCGUGCGAACGUUGUUCGGAAUCACUGGGCUUAAAGGGCGCGUAGGCGGUUUGCCAAGUCAGGGGUGAAAUCCUGCAGCUCAACUGUAGAAGUGCCUUUGAUACUGGCGAACUCGAGGGAGGUAGGGGUGGGUGGAACUUCUGGUGGAGCGGUGAAAUGCGUUGAUAUCAGAAGGAACGCCGGUGGCGAAAGCGACCCACUGGAUCUCUACUGACGCUGAGGCGCGAAAGCUAGGGGAGCAAACGGGG
rnacentral:rRNA from 1 species